rnacentral:lncRNA from 1 species
UGAUGGUGGUGAUGGUGAUGAUGGUGGUGGUGGUGAUGAUGAUGAUGUUGAUGGUGGUGGUGAUAAUGCUGGUGGUGAUGAUGAUGAUGUUGAUGGUGGUGGUGGGGGUGAUGGUGGUGGUGAUGAUGAUGAUGGUGGUGAUGAUGAUGAUGAUGAUGAUGAUGGUGGUGAUGAUGGUGGUGGUGAUGAUGAUGAUGAUGGUGGUGGUGAUGAUGAUGAUGGUGGGAGUGAUGGUGGUGAUGAUGAUGAUGUUGAUGGUGGUGGUGAUGAUGGUGGUGGUGGUGAUGAUGGUGGUGGGGGUGGUGAUGGUGGCGAUGAUGAUAAUGUUGAUGGUGGUGGUGAUGAUGAUGGUGAUGCUGAUGGUGGUGGUGGUGAUGAUGAUGAUGGUGGGGGUGAUGGUGAUGAUGAUGAUGAUGUUGAUGGUGGUGGUGGGGGUGAUGGUGGUGGUGAUGAUGAUGAUGGUGGUGGUGAUGGUGAUGAUGAUGGUGGGGGUGAUGGUGGUGAUGCUGAUGAUGUUGAUGGUGGUGGUGGGGGUGAUGGUGGUGGUGAUGAUGAUGAUGGUGGUGGUGAUGGUGGUGAUGAUGAUGAUGUUGAUGGUGGUGGUGAUGAUGGUGGUGGUGAUGAUGAUGAUGUUGAUGGUGGUGGUGAUGAUGGUGGUGGUGAUGAUGAUGGUGAUGCUGAUGGUGGUGGUGGUGAUGAUGAUGAUGGUGGUGGUGAUGAUGAUGAUGGUGGUGGUGAUGCUGAUGGUGGUGGUGGUGAUGAUGAUGAUGGUGGUGAUGGUGGUGGUGAUGGUGAUGAUGAUGAUGAUGGUGGUGGUGAUGAUGGUGAUGAUGGUGGUGGUGAUGAUGAUGGUGAUGAUGAUGAUGAUGAUGGUGGGGUUCAAUGGCAUUUUAAUGUUUAUAAGAAACGAGCAGCAAUGACUGAGCCCACCCGCCUCAUGAUGGAGAACAGCAGGUCACCCGGCAAAGCGGCGUCGACGGGCUGCUCUUCAUGCCAUGGUGGAGACGGAAACGAGCUGGAAAGACAGAGGGACGGACGGAGGGACGGACGGAGGGACGGACGGAGCAGCCCUGCUCCGGACUCCGGGUUCUCG